AAGACUAUGAUUUCAGGGCUCAUUUCUAUGGUUUGUUACUAGGGAAGUUUUUCUGAUUGUGCAGUAGUCCCCAAAACCAAGAAGAAGAGGCGGCACAGUGUCCUUUCCUGAGCGUGAGGUUGACUGUGGGUGUUGUUUUUACAGCUGCUACGGCUGCGCUUAUGUCGUUGAUGAUCGUUCUUAUUUUUUUUCUACAGCUGCGCUUACGUCGCAGUUAGAGGACAAGGGACGCCCUGUGAGUGGU
rnacentral:snoRNA from 1 species